AACGAACGCUGGCGGCAUGCCUAACACAUGCAAGUCGAACGGUGAAGGGGAGCUUGCUCCCCGGAUCAGUGGCGAACGGGUGAGUAACACGUGGGCAACCUGCCCCUCACUCUGGGAUAACUCGGGAAACCGGGGCUAAUACCGGAUACGACCGGGAGCGACAUCGCCCCUGGUGGAAAGAACUUCGGUGAGGGAUGGGCCCGCGGCCUAUCAGCUAGUUGGGGGGUUAACGGCCAACCAAGGCGACGACGGGUAGCCGGCCUGAGAGGGCGACCGGCCACACUGGGACUGAGACACGGCCCAGACUCCUACGGGAGGCAGCAGUGGGGAAUAUUGCGCAAUGGGCGAAAGCCUGACGCAGCGACGCAGCGUGAGGGACGAAGGCCUUCGGGUUGUAAACCUCUUUCAGCGGGGACGAAGCGAAAGUGACGGUACCCGCAGAAGAAGCACCGGCUAACUACGUGCCAGCAGCCGCAGUAAUAC
rnacentral:rRNA from 1 species